rnacentral:rRNA from 1 species
ACAUGCAGAGAACUUUCCAGAGAUGGAUGGUGCCUUCGGGAACUCUGACACAGGUGCUGCAUGGCUGUCGUCAGCUCAUGUCGUGAGAUGUUGGGUUAAGUCCCGUAACGAGCGCAACCCUUGUCCUUAGUUACCAGCACGUCAUGGUGGGCACUCUAAGGAGACUGCCGGUGACAAACCGGAGGAAGGUGGGGAUGACGUCAAGUCAUCAUGGCCCUUACGGCCUGGGCUACACACGUGCUACAAUGGUCGGUACAAAGGGUUGCCAAGCCGCGAGGUGGAGCUAAUCCCAUAAAACCGAUCGUAGUCCGGAUCGCAGUCUGCAACUCGACUGCGUGAAGUCGGAAUCGCUAGUAAUCGUGAAUCAGAAUGUCACGGUGAAUACGUUCCCGGGCCUU